GAUGAAGAACGUAGCGAAAUGCGAUAAGUAAUGUGAAUUGCAGAAUUCAGUGAAUCAUCGAAUCUUUGAACGCAUCUUGCGCUCCUUGGUAUUCUGAGGAGCAUGCCUGUUUGAGUGUCAUUAAAUUCUCAACUACACUGACUUUGAAUUGGUGUGACUUGGAUUUGGGGGGAAAAUUGUUGUGGGCUUUUUGUAUAGUCUGCUCCCCUGAAAUUGAUUAGCGGUACCUUUGUGGAACUGUCUACAGGUGUGAUAAUUAUCUACAUCUUAGACAUCUGCUGGAAUGCUGCUUUCUAAACCUUACUUGUAUUGACAAUCUUGACCUCAAAUCAGGUAGGACUACCCGCUGAACUUAAGCAUAUCAAUAAGCGGAGGA
rnacentral:misc_RNA from 1 species